UACAGAGGGUGCGAACGUUGCUCGGAAUUACUGGGCGUAAAGCGCAUGUAGGCGGAUCGAUAAGUCGGGCGUGAAAUCCCCAGGCUCAACCUGGGAACUGCGCUCGAAACUGUAGGUCUUGAGUGUCGGAGAGGAUGGCGGAAUUCCUGGUGUAGAGGUGAAAUUCGUAGAUAUCAGGAGGAACACCGGUGGCGAAAGCGGCUCACUGGACCACAACUGACGCUGAGGCGCGAAAGCUAGGGGAGCAAACAGG
rnacentral:rRNA from 1 species